GAUGAACGCUGGCGGCGUGCCUAAUACAUGCAAGUCGAGCGAACAGAUAAGGAGCUUGCUCCUUUGACGUUAGCGGCGGACGGGUGAGUAACACGUGGGUAACCUACCUAUAAGACUGGAAUAACUCCGGGAAACCGGGGCUAAUGCCGGAUAACAUUUAGAACCGCAUGGUUCUAAAGUGAAAGAAGGUUUUGCUAUCACUUAUAGAUGGACCCGCGCCGUAUUAGCUAGUUGGUAAGGUAACGGCUUACCAAGGCAACGAUACGUAGCCGACCUGAGAGGGUGAUCGGCCACACUGGAACUGAGACACGGUCCAGACUCCUACGGGAGGCAGCAGUAGGGAAUCUUCCGCAAUGGGCGAAAGCCUGACGGAGCAACGCCGCGUGAGUGAUGAAGGUCUUCGGAUCGUAAAACUCUGUUAUUAGGGAAGAACAAAUGUGUAAGUAACUGUGCACGUCUUGACGGUACCUAAUCAGAAAGCCACGGCUAACUACGUG
rnacentral:rRNA from 1 species